GACCACGCCACCACGACGGCGACGACGUCACCGACGACGGCCUACCGCCACCACCGCUUGGUCCGCUGCAACUUGAAAUCGAAACCCUAGGUCUCAAAACGGCAUCGCCAUUACGGUUACAAUUUUUGUUACGAUCUCCGUUAGGCUAGUAGGUCCGCUGCACUAAUGCUGCUGAGAUCGGUUAGAGAUGGUGGUGAUGCUGCUUGUGCCGCCGGCAACGGUGGUAGGGGGUUGUUUGUGCCGGUGGGGGUUUGAGAAUGCGGUUCUUGUUUUUUUU
rnacentral:lncRNA from 1 species